AGGAUGAACGCUGGCGGCGUGCUUAAGACAUGCAAGUCGAACGCAGAGUGAUCGUAAGGUUGCUCUGAGUGGCGAAUGGGUGCGUAACACGUAGGUGAUCUGCCCAGAAGUGUGGAAUAACAGUCCGAAAGGACUGCUAAUACCGCAUGUGGCGCGCGGGGUUAGAGGCCCGCACGCGAAAGGCGAGCAAUCGUCGCUUCUGGAGGAGCCUGCGGCCCAUCAGGUAGUUGGUAGGGUAAUGGCCUACCAAGCCUACGGACGGGUAGGGGACCUCAGAGGGUCGGCCCCCCACACUGGCACUGACACACGGGCCAGACUCCUACGGGAGCAGCAGUCGGGAAUAUUGCCCAAUGGUCGCAAGCUGAGGCAGCAACGCCGCGUGCGCGAUGGAAGGCCUUACGGGUCGUAAAGCGUCUUUUUCGAAGUGGGAUGAAGGAAGGACAGUACCACGUAGGAAAUAAGGUACCGACUAACGUACGUCGACCAGCCGAACGGCCCGCGGUAAAUCCGUA
rnacentral:rRNA from 1 species